rnacentral:rRNA from 2 species
AGGUAAAGAUAGGUUAAGUUAUAAAGGGCGCAUGGUGGAUGCCUUGGCACUAGGAGCCGAUGAAGGACGGUACUAACACCGAUAUGCUUCGGGGAGCUGUAAGUAAGCUUUGAUCCGGAGAUUUCCGAAUGGGGGAACCCAAUACUUUUAAUCGAGUAUUAUCAUUAAGUGAAUACAUAGCUUAAUGAAGGUAGACGAGGGGAACUGAAACAUCUAAGUACCUUCAGGAAGAGAAAGAAAAAUCGAUUCCCUAAGUAGCGGCGAGCGAACGGGGAAGAGCCCAAACCAAGAAGCUUGCUUCUUGGGGUUGUAGGACAGAACUUUGGAGUUACCAAGUUAAGUUGUAAUCGAAUCAGCUGGGAAGCUGAGUCAAAGAGUGUGAUAACCACGUAGAUUAAACAACUUGACCUCCGUUCUGGAUCCUGAGUACGGCGGAACACGUGAAAUUCCGUCGGAAUCCGGGAGGACCAUCUCCCAAGGCUAAAUACUCCCUAGUGACCGAUAGUGAACCAGUACCGUGAGGGAAAGGUGAAAAGCACCCCGGAAGGGGAGUGAAAUAGAUCCUGAAACCAUGUGCCUACAAUUAGUCAAAGCUCGUUAAUGAGUGAUGGCGUGCCUUUUGUAGAAUGAACCGGCGAGUUACGUUUAUAUGCGAGGUUAAAGUGAAAAGCUGGAGCCGUAGCGAAAGCGAGUCUGAAAUGGGCGAGUGAGUAUAUAGAUGUAGACCCGAAACCAAGUGACCUACCCAUGUCCAGGUUGAAGGUGUGGUAAAACACACUGGAGGACCGAACCCACGUCAGUUGAAAAUGGCGGGGAUGAGGUGUGGGUAGCGGUGAAAUUCCAAUCGAACUUGGAGAUAGCUGGUUCUCUCCGAAAUAGCUUUAGGGCUAGCCUCGGAAUAUUGGAUCAUGGAGGUAGAGCACUGUUUGGACUAGGGGCCCGUCAUGGG